rnacentral:lncRNA from 10 species
UGGCUAAUGUUUGAAAUUGAACACAGCUAUCUAGGUGGGAAGGGGAAGGCUAUCCAUUAUGCAUGUCUAGGCAUAUCCGAAGGCAUAUCUAGGCUUCUCAGGGCAUGUCAGGGCACGGCAGGGGUGGGAAGAGUUGUUUACAGCAGGGGUAACUAGAGAAACUAGAGAAACAAAGAAAUGGAAGAACAGGGAAUUAAAACCUUUUGAAGAGGAAUUUAUCAUCUCUGCCAAUUUCCCCCUCUAGAUUUUAUAGUUUUUCCUCUUCAAAAUGUAUUAGCAUAUCUCAGCUCUGUUGUUCUUCUUGGGCAUCUGGAAGGAAGAGUUUAUCUGAAUAAGGUGGGGGUGAACUAAGGGAGGUUUUGGUGAGAGCUGUUUCUAUAAUCUUUGCACUAAACCAUGAAUGCAGUAUAUGAUACAGCAUCCUACAAGAAUGAGCACGCCUAUAAUGAUUACAAGGGAGUUGUUGGUCUGUUUUUUCCUGCAUUGCUGAGAGUCCAGGUUUAUUCGUCACACCAGGUGGGUCUUGAUUCCUUACCCCUGAGUCCACUGCAAUGAGGCAGCAGGGCACACCUCCUCACAGGAGAGGACUGGACCCUUCCCCAGAGGAGAAUGGGAAUCCUGGACGAACCCCCAAAUUUGUUAGAAACAAGCUUCAGUGCUGCAAAAGAAAUAGCACUCAAACAGAAAUUUUCUCAGCAAGGCAAAUUUACUUCCGCAGAAGUGUGCAGCUUGCGCCAGUCACGAUUGCAAGAGCACACUGAGCAGGGU